rnacentral:rRNA from 1 species
AUUGAACGCUGGCGGCAGGCCUAACACAUGCAAGUCGAACGGUAGCACAGAGAGCUUGCUCUCGGGUGACGAGUGGCGGACGGGUGAGUAAUGUCUGGGAAACUGCCUGAUGGAGGGGGAUAACUACUGGAAACGGUAGCUAAUACCGCAUAACGUCGCAAGACCAAAGAGGGGGACCUUCGGGCCUCUUGCCAUCAGAUGUGCCCAGAUGGGAUUAGCUAGUAGGUGGGGUAACGGCUCACCUAGGCGACGAUCCCUAGCUGGUCUGAGAGGAUGACCAGCCACACUGGAACUGAGACACGGUCCAGACUCCUACGGGAGGCAGCAGUGGGGAAUAUUGCACAAUGGGCGCAAGCCUGACGCAGCCAUGCCGCGUGUAUGAAGAAGGCCUUCGGGUUGUAAAGUACUUUCAGCGGGGAGGAAGGGAGUAAGGUUAAUAACCUUGCUCAUUGACGUUACCCGCAGAAGAAGCACCGGCUAACUCCGUGCCAGCAGCCGCAGUAA